GAUGAACGCUAGCGGCAGGCUUAAUACAUGCAAGUCGAGGGGCAGCAUGAUUGUAGCAAUACAAUUGAUGGCGACCGGCAAACGGGUGCGGAACACGUACACAACCUUCCAACAAGUGGGGGAUAGCCCAGAGAAAUUUGGAUUAAUACCCCGUAACAUAGCGAUGUGGCAUCACAUUGCUAGCAUAGAUUUUUCGCUUGUUGAUGGGUGUGCGGCUGAUUAGGUAGUUGGCGGGGUAACGGCCCACCAAGUCUACGAUCAGUAGCUGAUGUGAGAGCAUGAUCAGCCACACGGGCACUGAGACACGGGCCCGACUCCUACGGGAGGCAGCAGUAAGGAAUAUUGGACAAUGGACGCAAGUCUGAUCCAGCCAUGCCGCGUGAAGGAUUAAGGUCCUCUGGAUUGUAAACUUCUUUUAUAAGGGACGAAAAAAGGCUUUUCUAAGUCGUCUGACGGUACCUUAUGAAUAAGCACCGGCUAACUCCGUGCCAGCAGCCGCGGUAAGAC
rnacentral:rRNA from 1 species